rfam:Pongo abelii chromosome 8.
GGGAAGUGGGAAGAGGGGCCAGCCUCAGGCCCUGCAACAAAGUGGGGUG